GAUGCGUGCUCGAUGUGCGCCUCUCUCUGUACACGCACACACGCUUCUCCCCUUCUUUACUGGCGCAGCUUCGUCUUCUUUUUCUUUUGUUCCCUGCCGCCUGAAGAACACCGGAAUUCGGUCUCGAGCAGCAUGCCCUUCCGGGUGCUGAAGCCGCGGAGGGACGCUCCGCAGGCAUUGCUGACGCCGCCAUCGCGUGAGCAGGUGUACAACAACAUCGAGGAGCGUCGCUUGAAGGAGUGGGAGAACUACCAAAAGGCUCACCGGUUCAUGGAGGAGACGCACACAAAUCGCAUUUUCCUCGACAUCGGCAUCGGUGAUGCAUUGGCGGGAAGACUCGUUGUGGAGCUCUUCGAGGAUGUCGUACCCGAAACCGCUGCACGCUUUCACCGCCUCGUUACCGGCGAAGGCGGUAUCCACGACGCAACUGGCGUCAAGCUGGACUACCUCUACACCCCUCUCGAGCUGAUUGACCGCCAGCACGGCUACGCGCGCUUUGGGGAUCUUUUGGCGUAUGGCGUGCGUCUUGAGCCUCUGCGACAGGAAACGUUCAAGGUGCGCCACACCAGCCGUGGACUGCUCACGAUGACGUCUUACGGGCCAAAUCUGUGCAACACGUCUUUCGCCAUCACUCUCGCCGCUGCGCCCUCUCUCGACUUCAAGCAGGUAGCGUUCGGCAAGGUGGUGGACGGGCUGCAUCUGCUGGAGAAGCUAGAGUCACUCCCGCUGGAUCAGGUGGGCCGCCCUCUAACACCAGUCAUGAUUGCGAUCUGUGGAACCCUUACGGGAGAGCGUCCCCCAGGCAAAUGGGCCUCGCCCCAAGACAGGACGGGCUGCGACGAGGAUCUUGCAUACGAAGCCAUCCAGUGAUGACGAGCAGUCAAGAGUCAAGCGCCUCCUUUCUCUGCGUUUGGAGAACUGCACAGACCCUGCUUGUCCACCCCUUUGUCGGCGUUCUCCCGCGUCUCCUUCUCCCCUCACCCCUUCCCUCCUCUCUUCUUGAACCAUUGCAACGAUGUUCUGUAUUUCUGCAUGACGCGGCACAGUCGCACAG
rnacentral:misc_RNA from 1 species